rnacentral:pre_miRNA from 1 species
UGUUAAAAUUUUAUUUAUUUCUACGGUUAGAGAAUGGCGUUACUGACAAAAUAACUAACUAACUAAUUAUGAUAUGUCACAUAUACCUCAUGUUGAUGUAUAGAGACCAGAUUUCAACAAUAAAAAUUGAUGGAAUUUUUAAUA